rnacentral:rRNA from 1 species
AAAGAAACUAACAAGGAUUUUCUUAGUAGCGGCGAGCGAAAAGAAAUCAGUUCAGCACUAAGUCACUUUGCCUUUAUGACAAAUGUGAGAUGCAGUGUAUGGAGCAUCAAUAUUCUAGUAUGAGAAAUUAACGAUUUAAGUCCUUCUUAAAUGAGGCCAUUUACCCAUAGAGGGUGCUAGGCCCGUAUAACGUUAAUGAUUACUAGAUGGUGUUUCCAAAGAGUCGUGUUGCUUGAUAGUGCAGCACUAAGUGGGUGGUAAACUCCAUCUAAAACUAAAUAUAACCAUGAGACCGAUAGUAAACAAGUACCGUGAGGGAAAGUUGAAAAGAACUCUGAAUAGAGAGUUAAAUAGUACGUGAAACUGCUUAGAGGUUAAGCCCGAUGAACCUGAAUAUCCGUUAUGGAAAAUUCAUCAUUAGACUUGUAAUAUUUAAACAAUAUUAUGAUAAUAGUGUGCAUUUUUUCCAUAUAAGGACAUUGUAAUCUAUUAGUAUAUAAAAUUUAUCAAAAAAUUGCAAUUAAUUGUUUAUUUAAAUUAAAGUGCUUGCAUUUUAACAUAAAAUAAAUGUUGUAAAUUUGAUAAAGUACUGAUAGAUUUAUUUGACUACAAUGCGUUAAUUUUUCGGAAUUAUAUAAUGGCAUGAUUAUCAUUGAUUUUUGUGUUUAUUAUAUGCAUUUGUACGAUUAACAAUGCGAAAGAUUCAGGAUACCUUCGGGACCCGUCUUGAAACACGGACCAAGGAGUCUAACAUAUGUGCAAGUUAUUGGGAUAUAAACCUAAUAGCGUAAUUAACUUGACUAAAUAAUGGGAUUAGUUUUUUAACUAUUUAUAGUUAAUUAACACAAUCCCAGGGCG